rnacentral:rRNA from 1 species
UACAGAGGGUGCGAGCGUUAAUCGGAAUUACUGGGCGUAAAGCGCGCGUAGGCGGCUUUGCAAGUCGGGUGUGAAAUCCCCAGGCUUAACCUGGGAACUGCAUUCGAGACUGCAUUGCUAGAGUUUGGGAGAGGGACGCGGAAUUCCAGGUGUAGCGGUGAAAUGCGUAGAUGUCUGGAGGAACACCGGUGGCGAAGGCGGCGUCCUGGACCAACACUGACACUGAUGAGCGAAAGCCAGGGGAGCAAACGGG